AGCAUGUUUGUUUUUAACUAUUGAUUUUGUGGUUUGUUGUAGCAUCUUGAACACUCACUAAGCUUGGUUAAGCUCACACUCCCUUGUGUUUAUUUUUGCAGAGAAAUAGCUUGUGUGGAGUGGGAAACUAGGCAAGCUUGAGAUCCAAAGGCAAAGGCAUCUUGGUUGUGCAUGUGAGGUGGUUUUGGUUAAUAAAGGAUGACAAUAUGGGUUUAUUUUGAGGGUUUAGACUUUGGACUUGUUUGGUUUGUAAAUGGACUUUUCAUGGAUUGUUUAAGGACUUUUAAAACUAUUUUGUGGAUGUUUUUAUUGCUUGGAUGAUUGCGUGAGGUAUGAUUGAUGAUUGCUUAGACUAUAUGUUGAAUAGCAUGUUUGUGCCAUAGUGAUUUAUGGUUAGAAUUGUUUAAAUGAUGUGUUGAAUGCUAGGACAGAUGCAAAAUGACCAAAUGGCAAGGUAUGUACAUUUAUCGCACUUUAAAUUUCCUUGUAUGCAAUUUUGGCAUGUUGAGUAAAUUAAAUUAAAUUGACACUUUCCUUAAG
rnacentral:lncRNA from 1 species